rnacentral:rRNA from 1 species
UAGGGAAUAUUGGGCAAUGGAUGCAAGUCUGACCCAGCCAUGCCGCGUGCCGGAUGAAGGCCCUCAGGGUUGUAAACGGCUUUUAUUCGGGAAGAAGAGCAGGGAUGCGUCCUUGUGUGACGGUACCGAAUGAAUAAGCACCGGCUAACUCCGUGCCAGCAGCCGCGGUAAUACGGAGGGUGCGAGCGUUGUUCGGAUUUAUUGGGUUUAAAGGGUGCGUAGGUGGCUUAAUAAGUCAGCGGUGAAAUACAGCCGCUCAACGGUUGAGGUUCCAUUGAUACUGUUAAGCUUGAUACAAGUGGAGGCUGCCGUAAUGGAUUGUGUAGCAGUGAAAUGCAUAGAUAUCAUCCAGAACACCGAUUGCGAAGGCAGGUGGCUACGUUUGAUUUGACACUGAGACACGAAAGCAUGAGGAGCAAACA